UUGCGGGCCGCUGCUCCACAGAAUUAGCUGUGGUUAUCGUCGAUAAUCGGGCUGUAAGAUGUCCAGCCCAAUUUGCAAAGCAUAUCAUUCAUACGUGAACUUGCAGGUCGCCCAGGUCUCUUCGUCUAUCCCCGAGCGCCGGCCCUAUCCCUAUCCCUGAGCUCCUCUCUGUUGGUCGAGGCUGCGCCGCCACCGUCCUCAAUCCCGGCGGCGAGCUUCCGCGCCCUCCGAUACCCAUCUACUCUUCCUCUGCAGGCCCCCAUGCUGGUGGCUGUGGUAACGGGACUGACGGCGAAGGAGAUUCGACAAAGCCGAUCGCGACGAGCACCUCAUCCUCCUUUUACUCCGCAGGAUCAGCGUCCCCUUUUCUUUUGUGUCUGACCAACAGGGUAGGAUGACGUUGUUGAUUUGUUGUACUGAUGCGUGAUCGGGCAUCUCCGGAGGAUGUAAUUGGAACAUUAGCUAGGCCAUGGACAACACAUUGUAGAGGCCAUUAAUAUGUAGCAAAGCCAUUUUAUGAGGUCGUCGUUGACAACAACGUUAUGCUCAACUUUGAGAGCCAAUCUUCUUUUAUCCGUAUUCAACUCUUGUUGGUAACAUAUUCAUCUCUUGUUAGGCACGCUUAUACGCUGAUGUUACAUUUUUGCAGGAUUUUGAUGUUUGUGCAUCGGAGAGCUUCCUUGAUGCUGGCAUCAGCUUGGAAGUUGUUGCUUUUCAGAGAACUCUGGGAACCAUAUAUCCUUCACAAGGCAUACAAUUAUUCAGAAGAAUACUAACUGUUAGUCGUGCUUAGAUGCUUCAUAUUCCAUUUAUUUACUGCCCCCAAACGUACUAUAACAAACAAUCAUCUUCGUAUUUGAGGCAUUGCAGUUUCGGACACUCGUACGUCUUAGAUAUAUUUGUACCAUCUAAAUUUAUGGCAGAUAUUUCUCCUAUUUUUUAUUAAAAUGGACGAGCGCGGGCAACGCGUGCCUUCAUGUUCUAGUCUUUGUUUGAAAUGGGUACUAGUAAUAACUAUGUAAAAGAACUGUCAAUAAUGUAGGAGUAUGUUGGUUGGAGGGUUUUUCAUAGAACCAUCGGCGCAAUUU